GAUGAACGCUAGCGGCAGGCCUAACACAUGCAAGUCGAGGGAGAAGCCCUUUCGGGGGCAGAAACCGGCGCACGGGUGCGUAACGCGUAUGCAACCUACCUUUCACAGGGGGAUAGCCCGAAGAAAUUUGGAUUAAUACCCCAUAAUAUUAUUGGAUGGCAUCAUUUGAUAAUUAAAACUGCGGUGGUGAAAGAUGGGCAUGCGUCCUAUUAGCUAGUUGGAGUGGUAACGGCACCCCAAGGCUACGAUAGGUAGGGGUCCUGAGAGGGAGAUCCCCCACACUGGUACUGAGACAGGGACCAGACUCCUACGGGAGGCAGCAGCGAGGAAUAUUGGUCAAUGGUCGGAAGACUGAACCAGCCAUGCCGCGUGCAGGAAGAAUGCCUUAUGGGUUGUAAACUGCUUUUAUAUGGGAAGAAUAAGGCGUACGUGUACGUUGAUGACGGUACCAUAUGAAUAAGCAUCGGCUAACUCCGUG
rnacentral:rRNA from 1 species